rnacentral:ncRNA from 2 species
AUUAAAUACAUAGAAAUAGGUGUUUAAAAACUUAAUGGACAUAAGUUUUUAACUUAAAAGGGAAGUUUGGUGAAAAUCCAACGCGGUCCCGCCACUGUAAAUGAGGAGCGACCUAUACAUUGUCACUGUCUGAACGAUGGGAAGACAUAGGAAGCGAUGAUUCAUGAGCCAGGAGACCUGCCUAUUUCAAGUACGCCAA